rnacentral:rRNA from 1 species
CCUACGGGAGGCAGCAGUGAGGAAUAUUGGUCAAUGGGAGAGAUCCUGAACCAGCCAAGCCGCGUGAGGGAAGACGGCCCUAUGGGUUGUAAACCUCUUUUGUCGGAGAACAAAACCCGGGACGUGUCCCGGACUGCGUGUAUCCGAAGAAAAAGCAUCGGCAAACUCCGUGCCAGCAGCCGCGGUAAUACGGGGGAUGCGAGCUUUAUCCGGAUUUAUUGGGUUUAAAGGGUGCGUAGGCGGUCCGUUAAGUCAGCGGUAAAAUUGCGGGGCUCAACCCCGUCGAGCCGUUGAAACUGGCAGACUUGAGUUGGCGAGAGGUACGCGGAAUGCGCGGUGUAGCGGUGAAAUGCAUAGAUAUCGCGCAGAACUCCGAUUGCGAAGGCAGCGUCCCGGCGCCAGACUGACGCUGAGGCGCGAAAGCGUGGGGAGCGAACAGGAUUAGAUACCCCUGUAGUC